GAUGAACGCUGGCGGUAUGCUUAACACAUGCAAGUCGAACGGUGUUUUCGGACACAGUGGCGGACGGGUGAGUAACGCGUGAGAAUCUGGCUUCAGGUCUGGGACAACCACUGGAAACGGUGGCUAAUACCGGAUGUGCCGAAAGGUGAAAGGUUAACUGCCUGAAGAUGAGCUCGCGUCUGAUUAGCUAGUUGGAAGUGUAAAGGACUCCCAAGGCGACGAUCAGUAGCUGGUCUGAGAGGACGAUCAGCCACACUGGGACUGAGACACGGCCCAGACUCCUACGGGAGGCAGCAGUGGGGAAUUUUCCGCAAUGGGCGAAAGCCUGACGGAGCAAUACCGCGUGAGGGAGGAAGGCUCUUGGGUCGUAAACCUCUUUUCUCAGGGAAGAAAAAAAUGACGGUACCUGAGGAAUAAGCAUCGGCUAACUCCGUGCCAGCAGCCGCGGUAAUACGGAGGAUGCAAGCGUUAUCCGGAAUGAUUGGGCGUAAAGCGUCCGCAGGUGGCGAUGUAAGUCUGCUGUUAAAGAGUCUAGCUCAACUAGAUAAGAGCAGUGGAAACUACAUAGCUAGAGUACGUUCGGGGCAGAGGGAAUUCCUGGUGUAGCGGUGAAAUGCGUAGAGAUCAGGAAGAACACCGGUGGCGAAGGCGCUCUGCUAGGCCGUAACUGACACUGAGGGACGAAAGCUAGGGGAGCGAAUGGGAUUAGAUACCCCAGUAGUCCUAGCCGUAAACGAUGGAUACUAGGCGUGGCUUGUAUCGACCCGAGCCGUGCCGUAGCUAACGCGUUAAGUAUCCCGCCUGGGGAGUACGCCGGCAACGGUGAAACUCAAAGGAAUUGACGGGGGCCCGCACAAGCGGUGGAGUAUGUGGUUUAAUUCGAUGCAACGCGAAGAACCUUACCAAGGCUUGACAUGUCGCGAAUCUUGAUGAAAGUUGAGAGUGCCUUCGGGAGCGCGAACACAGGUGGUGCAUGGCUGUCGUCAGCUCGUGUCGUGAGAUGUUGGGUUAAGUCCCGCAACGAGCGCAACCCUCGUUUUUAGUUGCCAGCAUUAAGUUGGGCACUCUAGAGAGACUGCCGGUGACAAACCGGAGGAAGGUGGGGAUGACGUCAAGUCAGCAUGCCCCUUACGCCUUGGGCUACACACGUACUACAAUGCUCCGGACAGAGGGCAGCAAGCCAGCGAUGGCAAGCAAAUCCCGGAAACCGGAGCUCAGUUCAGAUCGCAGGCUGCAACUCGCCUGCGUGAAGGAGGAAUCGCUAGUAAUUGCAGGUCAGCAUACUGCAGUGAAUUCGUUCCCGGGCCUUGUACACACCGCCCGUCACACCAUGGAAGCUGGUAGUGCCCGAAGUCAUUACUUCAACCUGGAAAGGAGAAGGAUGCCUAAGGCAGGACUGGUGACUGGGGUGAAGUCGUAACAAGGUAGCCGUACCGGAAGGUGUGGCUGGAUCACCUCCUUUUAGGGAGACCUACACCCCUUAGAUAUCGAAAAACACASAGUUAUAUMGAUACUGAGUUGGUCUAACCUAGGUCGGUCG
rnacentral:rRNA from 1 species